rnacentral:lncRNA from 1 species
GCCACAGAUACGAAGGAAAAUCUUUUUCUGGGGAAGCAUGGGAAGUGACGUUACUUGAGCAUGGUGGCACAUUCGGUGACUUACGGAAAGACCACAAGCUCAUUUUCUUGCUUAAAGUUAGUAGUUUCACGGUUUAGAUAGCUACAGCCACACACACUUUAUUGAGAAGCCGAUUAAUUGUAGUUAGACGUGCUGGGAGAUGGAGGUUCAGCAUUUUCAAUUCCUUUUCUUUGUUUACUUUGAUGCGCUGAAUACUUUUGGAAAAAUGCUGCAGAGUUGUCACGUUCUUGGAAAAUAGAGCUCGGUUCCCUAAAUUUUUCUUGUCUUAAUCAUUUUAUAUUUUGUAUUGAAAUGUUGUUUUUCAGUGAUGGAUGUGUGAGUUAGAUGACUACAACGUUUAUUAUUAUUUUUUUUAGCUUAUGCAUUGCAUUUGAAUAGUAUUAGAAAUGUUUGUUUAUUUUCCGCUGCCUUGUGAUUAAUGGGUUAACAUUCUUGUUUCUUGAAUUUUUAUUCCAAGUUUUAUUUCCACCGCACU